AGCGAGUCUGAAUAGGGCGAAUGAGUAUUUGGUCGUAGACCCGAAACCAGGUGAUCUACCCUUGGUCAGGUUGAAGUUCAGGUAACACUGAAUGGAGGACCGAACCGACUUACGUUGAAAAGUGAGCGGAUGAACUGAGGGUAGCGGAGAAAUUCCAAUCGAACUUGGAGAUAGCUGGUUCUCUCCGAAAUAGCUUUAGGGCUAGCCUCAAGUGAUGAUUAUUGGAGGUAGAGCACUGUUUGGACGAGGGGCCCCUCUCGGGUUACCGAAUUCAGACAAACUCCGAAUGCCAAAUAAUUUAACUUGGGAGUCAGAAUGUGGGUGAUAAGGUCCAUAUUCGAAAGGGAAACAGCCCAGACCACCAGCUAAGGUCCCAAAAUAUAUGUUAAGUGGAAAAGGAUGUGGCGUUGCCCAGACAACUAGGAUGUUGGCUUAGAAGCAGCCAUCAUUUAAAGAGUGCGUAAUAGCUCACUAGUCGAGUGACACUGCGCCGAAAAUGUACCGGGGCUAAACAUAUUACCGAAGCUGUGGAUUGUCCUUUGGACAAUGGUAGGAGAGCGUUCUAAGGGCGUUGAAGCAUGAUCGCAAGGACAUGUGGAGCGCUUAGAAGUGAGAAUGCCGGUGUGAGUAGCGAAAGACGGGUGAGAAUCCCGUCCACCGAUUGACUAAGGUUUCCAGAGGAAGGCUCGUCCGCUCUGGGUUAGUCGGGUCCUAAGCUGAGGCCGACAGGCGUAGGCGAUGGAUAACAGG
rnacentral:rRNA from 1 species